rnacentral:misc_RNA from 1 species
AAGUCGUAACAAGGUCUCCGUUGGUGAACCAGCGGAGGGAUCAUUACAGAGUUACCAAAACUCCCAAACCCAUGUGAACAUACCUCGCGUUGCCUCGGCAGGUGGCGUCCUACCCCGUGAGACCUACCCUGUAGGACCUACCCGGUAGGCGACCCUGCCGACGGCCCCCGAAACUCUGUUUUUAUAGCAUUGGACUUCUGAAAAGAUAACUAAAUAAGUUAAAACUUUCAACAACGGAUCUCUUGGUUCUG